UGGGGAAUAUUGCACAAUGGGGGAAACCCUGAUGCAGCGACGCCGCGUGAACGAAGAAGGUAUUCGUAUCGUAAAGUUCUGUCCUAUGGGAAGAUAAUGACAGUACCAUAGAAGAAAGCUCCGGCUAAAUACGUGCCAGCAGCCGCGGUAAUACGUAUGGAGCGAGCGUUGUCCGGAAUUAUUGGGCGUAAAGGGUACGCAGGCGGUUUAAGAAGUCGAAUGUUAAAGAUCGGGGCUCAACCCCGCAAAGCAUUGGAAACUGAUAAACUUGAGUAGUGGAGAGGAAAGUGGAAUUCCUAGUGUAGUGGUGAAAUACGUAGAUAUUAGGAGGAAUACCAGUAGCGAAGGCGACUUUCUGGACACAAACUGACGCUGAGGUACGAAAGCGUGGGGAGCAAACAGG
rnacentral:rRNA from 1 species